rnacentral:rRNA from 1 species
UACGGAGGGGACUAGCGUUGUUCGGAAUUACUGGGCGUAAAGCGCGCGUAGGCGGAUUUGUAAGUCGGGGGUGAAAUCCCGGGGCUCAACCUCGGAACUGCCUUCGAUACUGCAAAUCUCGAGUCCGGAAGAGGUGAGUGGAAUUCCUAGUGUAGAGGUGAAAUUCGUAGAUAUUAGGAAGAACACCAGUGGCGAAGGCGGCGCACUGGUCCGGUACUGACGCUGAGGCGCGAAAGCGUGGGGAGCAAACAGG